rnacentral:rRNA from 1 species
UGGGGAAUCUUCCGCAAUGGACGAAAGUCUGACGGAGCAACGCCGCGUGAGUGAAGACGGCCUUCGGGUUGUAAAGCUCUGUGAUCCGGGACGAAAGAGCCUGAGGUUAAUAGCCUUAGGAAGUGACGGUACCGGAAAAGCAAGCCACGGCUAACUACGUGCCAGCAGCCGCGGUAAUACGUAGGUGGCAAGCGUUGUCCGGAAUUAUUGGGCGUAAAGCGCGCGCAGGCGGCUUCCUAAGUCCAUCUUAAAAGUGCGGGGCUUAACCCCGUGAUGGGAUGGAAACUGGGAAGCUGGAGUAUCGGAGAGGAAAGUGGAAUUCCUAGUGUAGCGGUGAAAUGCGUAGAGAUUAGGAAGAACACCGGUGGCGAAGGCGACUUUCUGGACGAAAACUGACGCUGAGGCGCGAAAGCGUGGGGAGCAAACAGG